UACGGAGGAUGCAAGUGUUACCCGGAAUCACUGGGCGUAAAGCGUCUGUAGGUGGUUUAAUAAGUCAACUGUUAAAUCUUGAGGCUCAACCUCAAAAUCGCAGUCGAAACUAUUAGGCUAGAGUAUAGUAGGGGUAAAGGGAAUUUCCAGUGGAGCGGUGAAAUGCGUAGAGAUUGGAAAGAACACCGAUGGCGAAGGCACUUUACUGGGCUAUUACUAACACUCAGAGACGAAAGCUAGGGUAGCAAAUGGG
rnacentral:rRNA from 1 species